rnacentral:misc_RNA from 1 species
GAUGAAGAACGUAGCGAAAUGCGAUAAGUAAUGUGAAUUGCAGAAUUCAGUGAAUCAUCGAAUCUUUGAACGCACAUUGCGCCCGCCAGUAUUCUGGCGGGCAUGCCUGUUCGAGCGUCAUUACAACCCUCAGGCCCCCGGGCCUGGCGUUGGGGAUCGGCGGAGCCCCCCGUGGGCACACGCCGUCCCCCAAAUGCAGUGGCGGUCCCGCCGCAGCUUCCAUCGCGUAGUAGCUAACACCUCGCGACUGGAGAGCGGCGCGGCCACGCCGUAAAACACCCAACUCUUCUGAAGUUGACCUCGAAUCAGGUAGGAAUACCCGAUGAACUUAAGCAUAUCAAUAAGCGGAGGA